GACGAACGCUGGCGGCGUGCUUAACACAUGCAAGUCGAACGGAAAGGCCCUGCUUUUGUGGGGUGCUCGAGUGGCGAACGGGUGAGUAACACGUGAGUAACCUGCCCUUGACUUUGGGAUAACUUCAAGAAACUGGGGCUAAUACCGGAUAGGAGCUCCUGCUGCAUGGUGGGGGUUGGAAAGUUUCGGCGGUUGGGGAUGGACUCGCGGCUUAUCAGCUUGUUGGUGGGGUAGUGGCUUACCAAGGCUUUGACGGGUAGCCGGCCUGAGAGGGUGACCGGCCACAUUGGGACUGAGAUACGGCCCAGACUCCUACGGGAGGCAGCAGUGGGGAAUAUUGCACAAUGGGCGGAAGCCUGAUGCAGCAACGCCGCGUGCGGGAUGUCGGCCUUCGGGUUGUAAACCGCUUUCGCCUGUGACGAAGCGUGAGUGACGGUAAUGGGUAAAGAAGCACCGGCUAACUACGUG
rnacentral:rRNA from 1 species